rnacentral:lncRNA from 1 species
UGGGGGGCGCGGUGUGGCAGACGAGCGCGGCGCGCACUCCUGCCGUUCGGUUCCUUCUCCUCAAAGCAAGACCCAAGGAUGGAACGCCACACGCCGUCGUCUGCACCGCCGGAGGAAGGCGAGAUUUCUUCCUUCCUGCUCCUCGGACUAGCAAAAACCGAGGGAACGAAGCAAAGAGGAAGGGACAGGCACUGCACGCGAGGUGAUCGUCCGAAGUCUCCGGUAGAACUGAACAAGACAAAACCCUGAUGUCCCUCUCUUCCCCCACAGAUCAAAAUCAACAGGAGAAGAGGCAGCCAAAAAGCUGCUAUAGUCGCCGGCGGCAUACCUGGCAAGAGCUCGCGGUCGCUCUCCGGCAGAGAAUCUCCUCCCGUUCCUUCUCCUCGAAGCAAGACCCC